rnacentral:rRNA from 1 species
UACGGAGGGUGCAAGCGUUAUCCGGAAUUACUGGGCGUAAAGCGCACGCAGGCGGUUUGACAAGUUUGAGGUGAAAGCCCCGGGCUCAACCGGGGAGGUGCAUUUAAAACUGUCAGGCUAGAGUCUUGUAGAGGGGGGUAGAAUUCCAGGUGUAGCGGUGAAAUGCGUAGAGAUCUGGAGGAAUACCGGUGGCGAAGGCGGCCCCCUGGACAAAGACUGACGCUCAGGUGAGAAAGCGUGGGGAGCAAACAGG